CGGUCUAAAUAAUUAUCCACAUGAUAUAUUUAUACCUGAAACAUGAAUCCUUUUGGCUAUCAAUUGUUAUCCUUCUUUAGUCAAUCUUUAUAUGCGAAUCCAAGUGAUACCACUGACACUGAUCCCCAAGCUCAGCAUUCCAGUGCAUGGUUCCAAGUGGUAGAGGGAUCAUACUCUCCCAAGAUUGAGAAGAAUGUUCAAAGUUUUAAUAGCUCUUGUGUUUAUCCAAAAUUAUGUUACUAACAGUGAUUUACCAGGACUGAUGUCACUGUAGAGAAUGUGAUACUUUACUGGUGGCAUUGUGUCGCCAUCAAGCAUAUGGCCAAGUCAAGUUCCAAGUUCAUCAACAAGCCAUUGGCAAACUGAGCUGAGUUGCAUGCGUGUCAGGUAAAUGCAAUCUUGUUAGCUUGUCGUUGUUCCUGAAGGGGCCAUGACUUGUUGUACACUCAACUUGUUUGAUCUAACACUAAGACUCCUCCUGCAUGCUUGAACCACCAACCACAGAUGGUCAAUGCAAUGCAGUCGAGAAGAUGACACUGCCUGCCACAUACUGAUGGGUCUUCCAUGUCUCCUUGCCGGAAUGGUUGGUAUAAUCUUGCUUGCAGCGUAAUGAUGCAGUGUGUGCAGGGCCAACACCAGAAGAAAUUAGUCUAACUGUGAUUCACUGGGAUAAACUAAUGCUUCUCCUGAUCUAUCACAUGGUUUGUGUACAAUUCCACAUGACACUUAAAAUGGUUUGCCAUGCCCUGCAUCCCUUUAGUUUACUUCCUCUUCCCCUUUCUUUCAUUUCCCCAUCAUGUUAAGCUUUGCGGUUCCAAAAGAAAACUAAUACUACUACAAGGUAUCUUUUGCUUCUGCUAUGCUAAUCAUCCUCUUCUCCUUUCAUUGUGCAGUUAUGCUUGCAGUUUUCUAGUGUGAAGCUUUCAUUCACAGUGGAAGACAAGUUGGUCAGAACAAGGUACCAAGCCAGGGGUGUUCCAUUGGCACAAUGGUGAUUGACGAUUUGGCAAUUUGUCCAAUGUCUGUCAACUGUUGAAUUGACUCGAGACAAGGUGUGUUAGAGAUUGGUGUUAUGAUGGAUGGUGACAACACACUGGUGAUGCACCAAGCUGAUCAGUCAUUUUCAGCUUCAAAGAACAAAAGCAGAGAGCAUUCUGUCCUCAUGCAAAACAUAUCCACUCACUUCACCACACCUCCACUUGUGGUGGAGGGAGGAUUAAAAACCUUCCGAGGACACUUUGGGUCACAGCCCUGCAUGCAUUGGGGGGGUAAGCAACUCUGGUGGUCCUCUUCUGCAUUGUAAAGGUAAAAACACUGGGGUAGGGUUUUGCAUGGACCAUGUCCCUGGGAAAGGAUCUCGAAAACAAAAGCAGAAAGAGAUCACCACAUUGGGAGUAGCAAAGCCUCUCUGUUUUCCUACUGCCCCUACUCUACUUGAGUGAUAUUUAAAACAGAACUGCUCCCGGGACAGCCUUGCACAGCACAGCAAUGGUGUGAUCUAUGAAUCAUCCGUCGCACAUUGAUGUUGGUUCCUUGCAUGAGCAGCAGGAAAAAGUGCAUGAAGAAAGCCUAGGGUUUAUUUGAUCCCUUGAUGUUCCUUGUGAAGUGGU
rnacentral:lncRNA from 1 species